rnacentral:ncRNA from 1 species
UUCUUCGGGGCAGGGCGAAAUUCCCUACCGACGGUGACAACCAGUAAGGUUGAAGUCCGUGACCCGCGUACGCGCGGUGGAACUAGUGCAAGUCUAGUACCGACAGUUAAAGUCUGGAUGGGAGAAGAA